ensembl:lncRNA
GAGUGUCAGAUGUUCACCUGGAAACUGAGAUCACAUGAAGGUGGAUUUGCCCGGAGCCUGGCACAAGCCUUGGCCUCAACCGCAGAUGCCUCCUGCCUUCAAGUCUGCCUCUGAGAUGACCUGCUCCACAUGUCCAUGGCUGCUUCUGUGACUCCCUCCAUCCCAAGCAAAAUGGAUCUGUGCCACUCUCUGCCCAGCGUUCAGCUGGGCUGAUGAACCAACCUUGGCUGACACUUCAACGGAGAGAGGCGAUGUUUGACCAAGACCCAGAGACAAGGCAUCAGGGAAGCAGAGGCUGCCAGUCACCCAUAUUUCCCAAAUAUCUGGGCCAGGAGCUCACUCUUGCCAAUGCCACUAAGAACUAUGAAUGGUAACCAUUUGGGCAGGUUGCAGACCUAUGGCAGAAGGAAGAUGUCCGUCUUUGAACUUGAGAUCACACUGCUUAGGCAGCUGCUAGGCCAAUCUCUGUCCAUGAUGCCUGCCUUUCCACAGCAAGCAGAGGGCCAUGGAAAGUGAAAGAAGGAUGCCCACAUGCCCUCCCCCCACUCCCUCACUGCCAGGCGAGGAGAGACGCUGCGCCAGGGUCCAGAGAUCAGGGCUUGGACAUCACUCUGCUCAUGACUCAUGCACAACACAGGCAGGUCAUUACCCACUGUUGUGGCUAAAAGGCUAUAAUAGCACUUGGCCUCUCCCUGCUUCAUAUCGGUGACUCGGAGGAUUAAUGAGGGAAUGAGUGCUAAGCUUGGUAAAUGCAGCUUUAUUCCCCCACUGGUCCCUCUGAUUACCCCACAAAGCUGAUGGGAAAUAGCAAAGGUCAAAGUUCGCUUUAGAUGAGGUUGAGGUCCUCUCCCAGUGUGGUUCUGAGCUCUGCGUCUGUGUCACCCUCACCUGGGUGAGGCCCUGGGGUCAGACUUAGAAAGGGGUGGGAUGGGAGGGGGAAUAUCCUCCAAGCUCUGGCCACAAGCCUGGGGCAUUUCAUAUGGCAAGUCAACCAAAGGAAUGGAUCUUACUGGGCCUUUUGGAAACUUCCAGUGGCAAAACCCACAGACGGGACAGCACCUGUCAAGGCUGGAGUGAGCAGGAUGGAAGCUGCCUCUCCAGGAUGCUGGCUUUCAGGGCUGGUCCCCCUUGCUCUCUACCUAUAUAAUUUGAUUCUGUGAUCUUUCCUGGUGGACAACCUCUAAGACACUGGUGGCUGAGGUCAGAGGCCUAGAAGGUCAGGGGGAGGGAGAGAGGCCGAUGGGAUGCCUGGCUGUGGCCCUGCUCGAUGGAGACAGCUAGGAGAGGCCACUUCCCACAGGGCUGUGGCUCUUUCCGCGCAAGAUUUGGAGCUUCCUCGGGGAAAGGUCAAGAUGGGACUAAACCAACUCUGCCAACUAAGGAAUGCGGCUUGCCAUCCAGCUCUACAAGGAUUGAGUCAUUUGCCUUUGCUAUCACUGACCUUUAACACACACUGAAAGAGUUCAGGGCAGAGAUCAGGAACACGGCACAGCACUCCAGGCUCUGGGAAAACUAGCAGAACAGGCCUUUCAUUAGACAUUUGCGGGAGAAAAUUUUAUGAAUCCAAGUUCUCACAUCUUCCUACACUUGGAAAAGCACUGAAAUCAUUAACCAAGAUGACUGUUCCUCAUGACAAGUAGUAACCUUCUACCGAGAUGUGUGCUUGGUUGCAUGUACCCUUUUCUAAAUUCAUAGAUAUGCUGACCUUCCCCCUUUCCCCCUUUGGGACAGUUUCUCAGAGCCUGUGAGAGACUGUCUUCUGUGCUACAUUCCUCGCUAAGUCCCCAAAGAAAACUGAAACUCACGACAC